GCUUGAUCGACUGUUUGCGACCCUGAUGCAUCUGAUACAUUGCCUGUGGCCUCACGAUAAAGGGCUACCUCGUAUUCUAGCCUUCCAGGAGUUUCUUCAACUACUCCGGACACUCUUGCUCCGUGUGGACUAAAAGAAAUUAAAGUUAUUGGAUAAAACGUGGCUUUACUGAAAAACAACUUACAAGGUUCCAGCGAAUCCAGCGGCUUUGUGUCGAAGUAACGUGGGCUCAGGUGGUCGACACAUCAAAAUCAACUCUUGAUCAGCUAACAUUACAACACCAGGAAAAGCCGGAAACCAUAUUCGCAGGUGAAUAAAACCCUAAUAAUAAUAAUUUAUCAUGCGUUUAAUAAACUUAAAUUUAUGUCUUUUUUCUUAACAAUUAUCAAAUAAUACUCUUCUCUGAAAGACUUGAAUUUUAAUUAUUUAAGAUUCAUUAUCAUUAAAAUAUUAAGAUUAUGAUUAAAAUACUUAAAUUCAAUCAAAAAAAUUACAAAUUAAAGAUAUAUAAAAUAUAAUUACAAUUCUAUCUGUUUUUAAUUUUUGUAACACGAUCAUAAACAUCGCGUGACUCUUAUUAAUUUAACGAUCAUGUGAUCAUCGAGAAAACCAGAUGAUAAUUACAAUUAUGUAACAAGUUGUUACACGAAAGCGAUUAUGUAUUAGCUGAUCGGUUUCAUUUAUCGAUGCACGAUGCAGAACGAGGAGAAAAGCGCAGUGAAGGCGGGAAACGAAAAUUUCGAUCGAUGACUCACAUUCCUCUUCAGGAUGCCGCAUCUCGAGAAGUCAGUCACCUUCAGGAAGUAGUUAUCUUCCUGAGGAUCGUUGGGAUCUGGCCUGAUCUGGCAGUGAAUGUCGGAGAUCGGCGGCUGAUCCUGCGCCGCUGCACUGAAUGUCAGAGACCUCGUAAUCCUGGGCAACGGUGGCGGCAAUCUGAAACAAUACCACUGUCAUUCAUCUACCCAGUUUUGCUCGAGCGAUAUUCGCGACGUUCUGGUAUGUAAUUCAUUUUGUUUUUAUGUAUUGCUCUUUUUUCUAAUUGAAAUAUAAUAAUAGGCAGUUUGUUAAGAAAAAACUUGAAUAUUAUUAUAAUAUAAGUAAUAUUGUUAUUGUUGGAGAAUAAUAUUUUUGAAAAUAAAAAAAUCAAAUUAAUUUGUAUCUCAAUUAAAAAUAAUCAAUCUCUCAUAAUGCCUUUGAAUGAAUUUUUUCCAUAUUAAAUGGUAUAAUUAUUAUUAAUUUUAUUAUAAAAAUAAUGAUCUAUAUAUAGAUAUAUUUCAGUUAAAAUUCGUAAUGACUUUACAAAACAUUAAAAUUAGAUUAUAAGACAAAUUUAAAAUGGAUGGCAAAUUUAAUUAAAAUUAAAAUAUUUUUAAAAAUAUUUUUUAUUUGCAUACAUGUUUUUUGCCAUACAAUAUGUUCUGAAAAAAUUCAUCCAUGUAGUUUGAAAUAUUUAUUUAUUUUAACUAUAUAAUUUAAAAAUGUUUAAAAUUAUACAUAUUUUAUAUUUGAAAUAAUUUUGCGAUAUAAUAAAUGAAAAUAAAUGUUUAUGAUAAAUGUAAAUGAAUAUUAUCAUAAAAUAUGUCAUUAUAUAUAAAGUAAUAUAGAAUGAUUACGUAUAUAUAUUAUUAUAAUUUAAUACAUAAUUAAAAUCGUAAAAAAAAAUUCUGGAUAUUUUUCUACGUGAUAUUUUAAAAUUGUUUAAUUUUAUUUGUAUUAUAUAUAAUAUUUCAAAUCAUAUUUCAAUCCUAUUUUUUUACAUUCAAUAUAAAUAAUUCUUAAUUUAAAAAAAAAUUUUUUAACAUAUAUCUGCUAAGAUUAAAAUAAUUCAUAUUAUUUUUUUUUCUUAAAAAUACUAUCUCUAUAAUGAUUAUCUUAAUUUUUUUAUUAAAUAUCUUAAAAAAUUUAAUCGUAUUGAAUCAGAUUAAAAUUUCCAAUAAUUCAACAUAUCAGAUAAGAUACAAUCAAUUAUUACGUUUAAAAUAAUGUCAAGUAGAGUUCAAUUAUCAUCAAUGAUUCAAUCAAAUCUUCAAUUAUCUUUUACGUCAUUGGCCUCAUUAUCUAUGAUGUACAUUUCCACGACACGAUCUUACAAAUAAUAUAAUUACAUAUGUAUAUAUAUAAUCAUACUAAUCGUGUUUGUCAUUUGAUUGUAAUUAAUGAUAAAACUCAAUGAGAAAGGCUUGAAAGAAUGCUAUAAUCUCUAGGCGUUAAUGAAAAAGAAUACAAUGCAACCACAGUAACGAAGAAUUUCAUAGUUCAGUGGAUAUUCCAUAGUGGCAGAAGUGCAUUAACCAUUAACAUACUUUGCUAACAAACUUCUGAACUAUUUUACCGUGAAAUAACAUCUGUUCAGCCCUGUCACCGUUCUUGACACAAUCGUUUUUUCCUCUCAACAUCUGGACAGUGAUGUUGAGUGACCUCUCCUCUGAUCAUGGAAAAUACUUAUUUCCUUAAUUAACACUUUUUGCUCGAUAUCAAGCUUAAGGCGCGUUACCAUCGCAUGUGCCGAUGUCUAGUGCAGCAUGAAACUUCGAUAUGAAAUAAGAUGGCCAACACGCGAGGAGAGAAGACUUCAAUACAAAUAACGGUGUAAAGAAACGCUCUGGUACCCGCCUAAGUUAUUCGUUAUAUGCGUACCAUACAAGUUGUCCAUCGUACAGUCAGCCAGACGUAUAAUCGUAGUACAGGUCAUGGUUAUUUCUUAUGUUAGAGGUAGGUUACCCGGGCUUUUAAGAUUGGCUGAUUUUCAAGGUAAAAUUGAUAAGUUGAUAUCUCUUGAAGAACCUGUUUUAAAUUCUUUUAAUGUAUUUAACUGUUUAUUUGUUGAAAAGAAAUAUAUAUAUAUACUCUGUAAUAAUAUUGUUCAAUUUUUUAGAUUUGCAAUUUGCAUGAUAUUAAAAUCGUUUAUUUUCAGAGUGAAUCUGCUAUGAUGAAAAAAAUAUAAAAAAAAACUUAAUUUUAAUUUGUUAACAUUAAAUAUAUGAAUAUUACAACAUAUUAAAUAUUUGUAAAAUUAAAUAUUGGAAUAAUGUUGUAUUAAAAUAAAUUUUAAUUAUAGUACUUCGAAUCAAUAAAGUAAUAUAUUCAAUUGAAGAUUAAAAAAAAAACUUGAUAUUUCAUUUAAUUAAUCAUUUUAUUAGAUAGGAAAUAAAUUUUAGUUCGAUGUUAAAAAAAUCAUUUUGACGUAAAAUGUAUUGAAUUAUUCAAAUUAUUAUAUUAAAUUAUUCAAAUCAAUAUCAGAUUGCAUAUUUAAUGAUUAUAAGAGUUUCAUCUUCAUACAUUUGAUAUUUUUCAAAUAUUGAAAUAUCUUCUAUAAAUUAUAAGAUUAUUUUUCUCAUUAUUUUUUUAUAUGGAGCAUUAAAUAGAAUGGAGCAAAAUUAGAUAAUUAAAUCGAAAUACUUUAUAAAUAAAUUAUUUAUUAGUCAAGAUUUUGUAUAAAUAUCAAUAUAAAAUAAGCGAGUUUACGAUUGAGAAAUUAUAGGAUCUGUGAUAUUUUAAUUCAAAUAAAAUUGUAUAAUUAUUUUAAUAAAUGCAUUUAACUAAUUCGCGUUAUUAUGUCAAUUAUAUGAAUAAUAAUUAAUAUUAAUUAAUAUGAAUAUUAAUUAAGUAUCGUAUAAAAUUAUGAAUAAUUUAUAAAUAUCUUCGCUGUUGCUUUAAUUAGUAAUUAAGGCGUAAUAUUAGAUAAAUAAGAAAUAGAAAAAUAUUUUUUUUUAUUAAAAUACUAUUUCAAUAUUUGUAUUUCUGAUUUCUUUUAUUGAAUUUUUUUUAAAUUUAUAAAAUAAAGAUUGUACAGAUCUACAUACAUUUUGUAUUUAAUGAAUUUUUAAAUAAAAAAAUUUAAACUUAACAAGAAAA